CCGCAGAGGUCGUGGAUCGCCUGGUGGAUGCUCGCGGGGAGGCAUCAGGUGAAGAUCUAGUAGAAGAAGGAGAAGAGAAUGUUAGACAAGAUGACCGGAAUCAGUCCCGUUGAGCACUCCUUUAAGAACAAGGGUACUGCAAAGACACACCCCCUUCCUCUAGCGCCAAUUCUGUUGGUGCAGAAUUCCAUCGAAGUCGGAGAAGCUGGAGCGGGGAUGACCGCGGCCGCCGUCGGGACCUACAAAGAAAGUC
rnacentral:lncRNA from 1 species